rnacentral:tRNA from 1 species
GCUCAAAUAAUUUAAUUAAAAUAUUGGUCUUGUAAACCAAAUAUAAGGAAAUCCUUUUUUAGCU